AUUAAGGCAGUAUAUUGAUACGAUAAGACAAGGGAAAGGACAACAUCCUAAGAAGUACUCAGCCAGGUAUAUAUGUUCUCUAGUGGCUGAUUUUCAUCGGACUCUGUUAUAUGGUGGCGUAGCAAUGAAUCCAAGAAACCACCUUCGACUUGUUUAUGAAGCAAAUCCUCUGAGUUUCUUAGCGGAAAAGGCUGGAGGUAGAGGUUCAGAUGGUAAAAAUAGAAUUUUAUCUAUUCAACCUGUCAAGCUACACCAAAGACUUCCUCUAUUUUUGGGAAGUUUGGAGGAUAUAGAAGAAUUACAGAGUUAUGGAGAUGUUCAGCAGAAAGUGAACCCUGGUUAUGAUGUUUAAUGCCCUUGUCCCUCUUUCAUGCAGUUUGCUCAUCUCUCUUUGACAUGUAAAUUUUUUUGCUUGUUAGCUAGUAAAUAUGCUCUUCACUAGAAUAAACAUGUGAUUUUCUAUACCUACUCUUGAAUAUUG
rnacentral:misc_RNA from 1 species